CUCCUCUCAGGGUCACAACUUGAGAGAUUCCAGUAAUCUACGAGUCUCGGCUAUGGGAGGGAGAGUCAAGCAGAGGCCUGCCCAUUCCAUUCCUAGCUUGGGCAGUGGCUAGUGAGUGGAAGGCAAUCUGCUACAAGC